rnacentral:lncRNA from 1 species
AUACAUCAAUCCAGGAGCCAAAGCCCGGUUUUAGAGAUUUAAAGCUGUUAAAUAGCAUGUAGACCAUCCCUCUCGUUUUAUGGAUGCAGAAACUGAGACCUAUAGCAACUUCAGUGAAGGUCAAAGCUGUAAGAUUUGUCUUCUUACCUUAUAAAAGCAACCCUGCCUCCAUGACAGGUUUGGGCUGAGGUGAUUGUGGUAUAAUGCUCCAUUUCAGAGAGAAAGGAUUCAGCAAGCACCAACCUAAGUGCUCUGUGUGUGUGUGUGUAAUUAGAGGAGGAGAAGAGGGAGCCGGAAAAAUGUCUUAUAAACUCCCUCUCCUUGUGGGGCCCAAAUACUUGCCUGAACUGUGAUAGGUAUGUAAUAAAUAUUUAAGUUGAAUUUUUUUUACUUUGGGA